rnacentral:lncRNA from 1 species
GAAGUGGGUGUGUGUGACCGUGAGAACAAGACCAAGGGGGAAACCCUAUUUCUUCAAAAUCUUGCAAAUUAAAGGAGAAAAGGGCUAAAUUUUGAAUGCAUGAACUAAGAAUGAUGAUCAUCUAAGCAUACCCAACAUCAAGAACGUGUCAAGGAGAGGUCAAGCAUAGGAGGAUAACGGGUCAAGAUAAGGCAAGGUGACAAAUACACUUAUUGGAGUACUCGAGGUAAGUGAAUUUCGAUUCACUUUUUAGUAGGUUUAAUAGAUUUUAAUACUUAUGUUUACGAAACAUCAUGAAAGAACAUGUGACAAUCAGAAGUACAAAGCCAAUAAUGCCUCAUUAUUGAAGAAGGUUGUAUUUAAGCCGAAAGUAAAUUGGUGGGUUUAAACGGGUCGAAUUUUAUGUGCAUAUGUUGCGUAAUGUAAUGAAAUUCGUUAUGGUUAAGACCUUGGGUAAGAAUUUUAGUCAUUAUGUAAGGGGAACAUUUCCCGGACCAUUAGGAACAAGUUUUAUAUGAUUCGGUUAUCGGUUAGUGAAUGAACGGAUUGUUUCGUGUUAGUGUAGGAAAUUUUGUAAGUAUAUGUGUAUGGGAAUCCAAAGGCCACGUGGGUUGAAUCGUAGAUUGUCUAUACUAUGUAAAGUUGUAAAUGUGACAUUCCGGCAUAAACCUACAUGUAAAAGAAGCUUGUGUAUAUAUUCGUGAUUAAUUGAUUGUGGCGUAGGAAGGAACAUUGGCAUGUAUGAAGGUACGCAUAUAUAUAUAUAUAAGUGUAUAUAUAUAUAUGUAUGUAUGUAUGAUAAUAAGUACGUAGGUGUGAAUGUAUGUGUGAAUGAAUGUUCAAUGCUUAAGACAUAUGCAUGAACGUAUCAAAGUGUUCGAGUAUUUAUGGAUACUAAUGAUGUGCGUUGAGUUGGAAUGUAAUGUAGGUAUGGGAUCGUUGGCUUCAUGAAGAAAUGGAGCUGGAUUUGGAUAAGAGUAUUUAAGAAAGCGCUUGGACAAUUCCACGACUACUUUAUAGAAUGCUCUACGAAAUUUUAUUAUAUAGUUUAACGUUGAAUGGUAUGUUAAUGACUAAUGGUUUGGUUGUACGUGGUGUCCACAGGUAUCGCUUGGGUUUUCUCUACAUUUAUUGAAGUGAAGCGGACUUAGUUCGAGUUGAGAGCAAGGAUUGUACGGGGUAGAAUGGUCACAUAGUGUAACUCGUAUAGGUUUUGAAGUAUUAAUGUUAUAAAACGUUAUAAAUCCGUUUUAAUGAAUAUAUGGCAUUUCGCAUUUGAACCUUCAUGUGUUUGAUAUGUCUAUUAAAGAACGAAAUUUUUGGGCUCUUGUUUUCCGCUACGUCGUAUUUUAAGUUAUUACGCGUUAGUCUUACAGGGAAUUGUUCUUAUUACGAACGGGUCAUGCCCGAAUUUUGUUAAAUAAUAGUAUGAUAAUAUUACAUUUUGGAAUGUGUAAUUUGGGUGUAACAAGUUGGUAUCAGAGCCCUGGUUUGAGAGAAUUAAGUACGAGAGUAUAAGUACUUGAACUCAAACCUGUGUGCUCUUGUGAUAAGGAACCCGUACAAUCCAUGACUCGAUCAAGAUCUAAAGGUAGAAAUGGAACGAAAAUGUGUAAGUAUGUAUUAGAUUAUGUAUUUGAAAGAAACUAAUAGUGUGUUAUGUGCAAGGUAAGCUUAAGAGCUUGAAGAGGAUGAUCCGUGAAUACAGAAUAGGAUGAACGCUAAGGCGGGCAAAGGUGCAAAUAGGCAAAUUAACCCCAGGAACGUGUCAAGGAGAGGUCAAGCAUAGGAGGAUAACGGGUCAAGAUAAGGCAAGGUGACAAAUACACUUAUUGGAGUACUCGAGGUAAGUGAAUUUCGAUUCACUUUUUAGUAGGUUUAAUAGAUUUUAAUACUUAUGUUUACGAAACAUCAUGAAAGAACAUGUGACAAUCAGAAGUACAAAGCCAAUAAUGCCUCAUUAUUGAAGAAGGUUGUAUUUAAGCCGAAAGUAAAUUGGUGGGUUUAAACGGGUCGAAUUUUAUGUGCAUAUGUUGCGUAAUGUAAUGAAAUUCGUUAUGGUUAAGACCUUGGGUAAGAAUUUUAGUCAUUAUGUAAGGGGAACAUUUCCCGGACCAUUAGGAACAAGUUUUAUAUGAUUCGGUUGUCGGUUAGUGAAUGAACGGAUUGUUUCGUGUUAGUGUAGGAAAUUUUGUAAGUAUAUGUGUAUGGGAAUCCAAAGGCCACGUGGGUUGAAUCGUAGAUUGUCUAUACUAUGUAAAGUUGUAAAUGUGACAUUCCGGCAUAAACCUACAUGUAAAAGAAGCUUGUGUAUAUAUUCGUGAUUAAUUGAUUGUGGCGUAGGAAGGAACAUUGGCAUGUAUGAAGGUACGCAUAUAUAUAUAUAUAAGUGUAUAUAUAUAUAUGUAUGUAUGUAUGAUAAUAAGUACGUAGGUGUGAAUGUAUGUGUGAAUGAAUGUUCAAUGCUUAAGACAUAUGCAUGAACGUAUCAAAGUGUUCGAGUAUUUAUGGAUACUAAUGAUGUGCGUUGAGUUGGAAUGUAAUGUAGGUAUGGGAUCGUUGGCUUCAUGAAGAAAUGGAGCUGGAUUUGGAUAAGAGUAUUUAAGAAAGCGCUUGGACAAUUCCACGACUACUUUAUAGAAUGCUCUACGAAAUUUUAUUAUAUAGUUUAAUGUUGAAUGGUAGGUUAAUGACUAAUGGUUUGGUUGUACGUGGUGUCCACAGGUAUCGCUUGGGUUUUCUCUACAUUUAUUGAAGUGAAGCGGACUUAGUUCGAGUUGAGAGCAAGGAUUGUACGGGGUAGAAUGGUCACAUAGUGUAACUCAUAUAGGUUUUGAAGUAUUAAUGUUAUAAAACGUUAUAAAUCCGUUUUAAUGAAUAUAUGGCAUUUCGCAUUUGAACCUUCAUGUGUUUGAUAUGUCUAUUAAAGAACGAAAUUUUUGG